GUUUUGUCUUUUGUAUCAUGGAAUUUUUAAAAAAGAGAGUGGUUGGAUUUCUGCGACCACCAUGGACCAUGAUCACCUGGAAGGCACUUUGGCUUCUCUAGGUCCUGUAGAGCUUUGUGAUCCAUCUUUUGUUGGGAAAAUAGAAUGAAAUGGAGAAACAGCAUUAAAAUAUAAUGCUUGCCCACCUUGCUGUGGUUUGUUUUAUUAGCUGCUUUCUUCCCAACUCCUCUUCUCCAUUAUUUUUUGCCUCUUUUCAGAAAUAUUAAAGGGACCAUUCCUUUUUACAGAGAGAGUGAAGCAUCUGCUGUGCUCUGGAUACUCCUAUCACACUGGUCAUCAGGAACACUCCUUAAUGGAAAACAUCAUUAAAGCAAGUUGUUCUUAAAUUUGGGAAAGGCCAAGUUCAGUCAUAUGCAGAAUGAUACAUUUUGGAAUGAAAAUCAGACCGCAGAAUUCACUUGCAAGUUGGAAUAUCAGCUUGACUGCACCAAGG